rnacentral:rRNA from 1 species
GUGCAGCAGGCGAGAAACCUCCGCAAUGCACGCAAGUGUGACGGGGGAUUCCAAGUGUUAUUGCAUUUUGUGUGAUAACUUUUCUUAAAUGUAAAUAGUUUGAGGAAUAAGGGCUGGGUAAGACGGGUGCCAGCCGCCGCGGUAAUACCCGCAGCUCAAGUGGUCUGGAGUUUUAUUGGGUCUAAAGCGUUCGUAGCUGGGUCUAUAAGUUCUCUGUGAAAUCUAACGGCUUAACCGUUAGGCGUGCAGAGGAUACUGUAGACCUCGAGACUGGGAUGGGUCAAGGGUACUCUCGGGGUAGGGUGAAAUCCAAUAAUCCUGAGGGGACCACCUGGUGGCGAAGGCGCUUGGCUAGAACAGGUCUGACAGUGAGGGACGAAAGCGUAGGGGAGCGAACGGGAUUAGAUACCCGGGUAGU